rnacentral:rRNA from 1 species
UACGUAGGGUGCGAGCGUUAAUCGGAAUUACUGGGCGUAAAGCGUGCGCAGGCGGUUUGUUAAGACAGAUGUGAAAUCCCCGGGCUUAACCUGGGAACUGCGUUUGUAACUGGCAAGCUAGAGUGUGGCAGAGGGGGGUGGAAUUCCAAGUGUAGCAAUGAAAUGCGUAGAUAUUUGGAGGAACACCAAUGGCGAAGGCAGCCCCCUGGGUUAACACUGACGCUCAUGCACGAAAGCGUGGGGAGCAAACAGG